AUACGGAGGGUCCGAGCGUUAUCCGGAAUCAUUGGGUUUAAAGGGUCCGUAGGCGGGAAUCUAAGUCAGUGGUGAAAUCUUGCAGCUCAACUGUAAAAUUGCCAUUGAUACUGGAUUUCUUGAAUUAGUGUGAAGUGGUUAGAAUGUGUAGUGUAGCGGUGAAAUGCAUAGAUAUUACACAGAAUACCAAUUGCGAAGGCAGAUCACUAACACUAUAUUGACGCUCAGGGACGAAAGCGUGGGGAGCGAACAGGAUUAGAUACCCCAGUAGUCC
rnacentral:rRNA from 1 species